CCACUCUAGUGACAGGCCUGAUCCAAGGCAAUGGGACAGAAUGAUUGCAAAAAAAGUUGUUUCCUGUCCGUCUAUUUAUUUCUGAGCUGAACUCUUGAUUGCUGUGAAUACUUACGUUACUUUUCAAAACCACUCACGGAGAGGAGUCCAAUCUUAACUGGCAUCAAGAAUUGUCUCCAUCAAGAACACUCCAAGUUUAAAUACACAAUGGACACCACAUUCCAAAAAUAAUAAAUCAACCAAGACUUGUCAGCAUCAUGAAGGUGAACUAUUCAGCUAUGUAAAAUAAUAUUUGCAGAAUAUCCGAAAGCUUGUACUUCUGCUUACCUCUACAAGGGAUUUCUGACCACCUGGAUCUGUGCUAAGUAGCAUUUCAAUGGCCAUACUGUAGAAAGUUCUACAAGAUGAGCAUUUACUGGGUUGUGAGGACACCAUGGCAGUCACUCCAAGAUCUUAAAUAAUGGGUUAAAAUGGAUGUGAUCUCUUCUCAGCUUCAUCCAGUAGUAUACUACUACAGCAUGCAAGGGUUUUACUCUGUCUUUCAGCCUGGAGUGCAGUGGUGUGGUCAGGCUCACUGCAGCCUCAACCUCCCAAGGUCAAGUGAUCCUCCCACGUUAGCAUCCUGAAGAGCCGGGACUACAGACAGGUGCAUGCCACCAUGCCCAGCUAAUUUUUGUAUUUUUUGUAGAUACAGGGUUUCACAAUGUUGCACAGGCUGGAUGUUGAGUCUUAUAAUCUAUGAAAUCCCUCUAUAUUUACUUACAUUUCCUUUGAUUUCUUUCAUCAACAUUCCAGUUUGCCGCAUACACUCCUGCUCAUGUUUUGUUAGAUUUGCUCGUAAGUAUUUUCUUUUCUUGAGUGAUUGAAAAUGACAUUUUAAUUUCAUUGUCAACAUGUCUAUUACUGGUAUAUAAAAGUUCAGUUCAGCUUUGUAUGUUUAUCUUGCAUUCUGUAACACUACUGAAAUCACCUAUUCGUUCUAGGAGUGUUUUUCAUAAUUUCUUUUUUUUUUUUUUUUUUUUUUGAGACGGAGUCUCGCUCUGUCGCCCAGGCUGGAGUGCAGUGGCGCAAUCUCGGCUCACUGCAAGCUCCACCUCCCGGGUUCACGCCAUUCUCCUGCCUCAGCCUCCCGAGUAGCUGGGACUACAGGCGCCCGCCACCAUGCCCAGCUAAUUUUUGGUAUUUUUAGUAGAGACGGGGUUUCACCGUCUUAGCCAGGAUGGUCUCGAUCUCCUGACCUCGUGGUCUGCCCGCCUCAGCCUCCCAAAGUGCUGGGAUUACAGGCGUGAGCCACUGCACCCGGCCGUUUUUCACAAUUUCUUGAGAUCUUCUAUGUAGGCAAAUAUGUCAUCUGCAAAUGGACACUGUUUAUUUUGUCUUUUCCAAUGAACAUGCUUUUUAUUCCUUUCUUUUCUCUAUUGUACUGGCUAGAACUUCCUGUCCUAUGUUAAAUAAGAAUGGCUGAAUAAAAGCAGACACGCUAGCCUUGCUGUUUAUCUGAGGAGAGAACAUUCAGUCUUUUACCAUUGGUAGAUGUUAACUGCAGGUUUUUUAUAGAUGUUCUCUAUAAAGUUCAGGAAGUUCUCUAUUCCCAUUUUUCUGAGAGUUUAUAUCAUGAUUAAUGUUGAAUUUGGCAAAAACAUUGAAACACUUACACACAUACAUGUAUGUAUAUAUUUGGAAUCAACUGAUAUGAACAUGAGAGUUUUCUGCUUUAGCUUGUUAAUAUGGUGGUUUACAUUACUUUAUUUUCAAAAUCAAGCCAGCCUUGUAUCUCUAGAUUAAAAUCCACUUAAUCAUGGUUUUUUUUAAUAUAUUACUGAUUUAUAUUUGCUAAUAUUUUACUCAGG
rnacentral:lncRNA from 10 species